CGGAGGAUCCAAGCGUUAUCCGGAAUCAUUGGGUUUAAAGGGUCCGUAGGCGGUUUGAUAAGUCAGUGGUGAAAGCCCAUCGCUCAACGAUGGAACGGCCAUUGAUACUGUCAGACUUGAAUUACUGGGAAGUAACUAGAAUAUGUAGUGUAGCGGUGAAAUGCUUAGAUAUUACAUGGAAUACCAAUUGCGAAGGCAGGUUACUACCAGUGGAUUGACGCUGAUGGACGAAAGCGUGGGGAGCGAACAGGAUUAGAUACCCUGGUAGUCCACGCCGUAAACGAUGGAUACUAGCUGUUCGUAGCAAUCUGAGUGGCUAAGCGAAAGUGAUAAGUAUCCCACCUGGGGAGUACGUUCGCAAGAAUG
rnacentral:rRNA from 1 species